rnacentral:rRNA from 1 species
GUGGUCAUGAACUGUGGCCUCCGGAGCUAACGCGUUAAAUCGACCGCCUGGGGAGUACGGCCGCAAGGUUAAAACUCAAAUGAAUUGACGGGGGCCCGCACAAGCGGUGGAGCAUGUGGUUUCAUUCGAUGCAACGCGAAGAACCUUACCUACUCUUGAUAUCCAGCGAAUCGUUUAGAGAUAGAGGAGUGCCUUCGGGAGCGCUUGCUGCAUGGCUGUCGUCAGCUCGUGUUGUGAAAUGUGGGGUUAAGUCCCGCAACGAGCGCAACCCUUAUCCUUUGUUGCCAGCGAUUCGGUCGGGAACUCAAAGGAGACUGCCGGUGAUAAACCGGAGGAAGGUGGGCAUGACGUCAAGUCAUCAUGGCCCUUACGAGUAGGGCUACACACGUGCUACAAUGGCGUAUACAGAGAGAGGCGAGCCAGCGAUGGGAAGCGGAACUCAGAAAGUACGUCGAAGUCCGGAUUGGAGUCUGCAACUCGACUCCAUGAAGUCGGAAUCGCUAGUAAUCCGCGGAUCAUCAUGUCGCGGUGAAUACGUUCCCGGGCCUUGUACACACCGCCCGUCACACCAUGGGAGUGGGUUGCAAAAGAAGUAGGUAGCUUAACCUUUUUGGAUGGCGCUUACCACUUUGUGAUUCAUGACUGGGGUGAAGUCGUAACAAGGUAACCGUAGGGGAACCUGC